UAAGGAAUAUUGGACAAUGGGGGCAACCCUGAUCCAGCCAUGCCGCGUGAGUGAUGAAGGCCUUCGGGUUGUAAAACUCUUUUAGAUGUGACGAUGAUGACGGUAACAUCAGAAAAAGCCCCGGCUAACUUCGUGCCAGCAGCCGCGGUAAUACGAAGGGGGCGAGCGUUGUUCGGAAUUACUGGGCUUAAAGCGUGCGUAGGCGGAUGUGUAAGUCAGGAGUGAAAUCCCGGGGCCUAACCCCGGAACUGCUUCUGAGACUGCACGUCUAGAAUUCGGUAGAGGUCAGUGGAACUCCCAGUGUAGAGGUGAAAUUCGCAGAUAUUGGGAAGAACACCGGUGGCGAAGGCGACUGACUGGGCCGAUAUUGACGCUGAGGUACGAAAGCGUGGGUAGCAAACAGGAUUAGAUACCCCGGUAGUCC
rnacentral:rRNA from 1 species